rnacentral:rRNA from 1 species
GAUGAACGCUGGCGGCGUGCCUAAUACAUGCAAGUCGAGCGAACAGAUGAGGAGCUUGCUCCUCUGACGUUAGCGGCGGACGUGUGAGUAACACGUGGAUAACCUCCCUAUAAGUCUGGGAUAACUUCGGGAAACCGGAGCUAAUACCGGAUAAUAUAUUGAUCCGCAUGGUUCAAUAGUGAAAGACGGUUUUGCUGUCACUUAUAGAUGGAUCCGCGCCGCAUUAGCUAGUUGGUAAGGUAACGGCUUACCAAGGCAACGAUGCGUAGCCGACGUGUCAGGGGGGUCGGCGACACUGGAACUGGGACACGGUCCAGACGCCUACGGGAGGCAGCAGUAGGGAAUCGGCCGCAAUGGGCGGAAGCCUGACGGAGUAACGCCGAGUGAGUGAUGAAGGUCUUCGGAGCGUAAAACUCUGUUAUUAGGGAUGAACAAUUGUGUAAGUAACUAUGCACUGCGUGACGGUACCUAAUCAGAAAGCCACGGCUAACUACGUG